UACGAAGGGGGCUAGCGUUGCUCGGAAUUACUGGGCGUAAAGCGCACGUAGGCGGACAUUUAAGUCAGGGGUGAAAUCCCGGAGCUCAACUCCGGAACUGCCUUUGAUACUGGGUGUCUUGAGUGUGGAAGAGGUGAGUGGAAUUCCGAGUGUAGAGGUGAAAUGCGCAGAUAUCAGGAAGAACACCCGUGGCGAAGGCGGCUCUCUGGGACGGUACUGACGCUGAGACGCGAAAGCGUGGGGAGCGAACAGG
rnacentral:rRNA from 1 species